rnacentral:rRNA from 1 species
AGUGAACGCUGGCGGUAGGCCUAACACAUGCAAGUCGAACGGCAGCACAGUAAGAGCUUGCUCUUACGGGUGGCGAGUGGCGGACGGGUGAGGAAUACAUCGGAAUCUACUUUUUCGUGGGGGAUACGUAGGGAAACUUACGCUAAUACCGCAUACGACCUACGGGUGAAAGCAGGGGAUCUUCGGACCUUGCGCGAUUGAAUGGGCCGAUGUCGGAUUAGCUAGUUGGCGGGGUAAAGGCCCACCAAGGCGACGAUCCGUAGCUGGUCUGAGAGGGUGAUCAGCCACACUGGAACUGAGACACGGUCCAGACUCCUACGGGAGGCAGCAGUGGGGAAUAUUGGACAAUGGGCGCAAGCCUGAUCCAGCCAUACCGCGUGGGUGAAGAAGGCCUUCGGGUUGUAAAGCCCUUUUGUUGGGAAAGAAAAGCAGCAGGUUAAUACCCCGCUGUUCUGACGGUACCCAAAGAAUAAGCACCGGCUAACUUCGUG